rnacentral:ncRNA from 1 species
GGGACGCUCUUAGAAUCCCCAUGCCUUGUUGUGUUAAUAGCGGCAUUUUGGCCGAUGUCGCGGUUAGUGAAUC